AACGAACGCUGGCGGCAUGCCUAACACAUGCAAGUCGAACGAGACCUUCGGGUCUAGUGGCGCACGGGUGCGUAACGCGUGGGAACCUGCCCUCAGGUUCGGAAUAACUCCCCGAAAGGGGUGCUAAUACCGGAUAAUGUCUUCGGACCAAAGAUUUAUCGCCUUUGGAUGGGCCCGCGUUGGAUUAGCUAGUUGGUAGGGUAAAAGCCUACCAAGGCGACGAUCCAUAGCUGGUCUGAGAGGAUGAUCAGCCACACUGGGACUGAGACACGGCCCAGACUCCUACGGGAGGCAGCAGUGGGGAAUAUUGGACAAUGGGCGAAAGCCUGAUCCAGCAAUGCCGCGUGAGUGAUGAAGGCCUUAGGGUUGUAAAGCUCUUUUACCCGGGAUGAUAAUGACAGUACCGGGAGAAUAAGCACCGGCUAACUCCGUG
rnacentral:rRNA from 1 species